GCAGGUUUCGAGUCGAUGACCUUCAUGUCUAUCAGUUCCGUUCCGAUGCAGGAGCUUCCUUGACUAGCUCUAGCUGUAGGUCAGGUCAAGCAAACCGUGGCGCUCAUCGGUGGGAAUCUGGGGAGGUCUCGUCCCCGGUUCCGAUGGACAGAAGCCCAUCGGCUUGCGCGGUGUAGUCGUUCAGCAAUCCAUCAGGAGGAGAUUCAAGCGGCAAGACAGCUGUAUUUGAGAAGGUGCGAUGAAUUUUAUCAUCGGACUGUUGGGCGGCAUGCAGAUCGUGAGGUCAGGGGUCCCGUUCGCUCGGCGGUUGAGAGGAAGGUUCUUUUGAAAACAUCGUCGAAAUCACAGGUACGUUCUCUUAAACCAGAUGCCGCGUUGGGUACCUGCGUUGCUCCAUUUCCGGUGCCUAGCUUGUCACCGGCCGUUACUCUCGGACGCGUGACGCUUUCGGCAAAGGCAGGUCCUCCUCGACGAGGUUGCUCGCCAGCGUCGAGGAUGGAUGUCAGUGUUGCAGCUCCGGCUGUCCAGGGUCAUUCAAAUUCAAUCCCAUUUCCUCUUUCCAAGGAUCGGCAAUUACAGAAAGCGUUAAUUUCGCCAGGGGAGCCGUUCGGCGAUCCUGAGCAUUAUUGCCAGCGGGAUGGUGCCCGGUCUAGUGAAUCUGUGGGCCUCUUGUCCUCCCAGGAUUUGGGUGGUCUGGGAGCGACAUACUCUGGUUGGGCCAGCCGUUACCCGGGCCUGCUUUCUCUCCGUCAGAGACUUCACAGCACGGAUAAACCUAGGCGCAAUGUUCACUCGUCACGUUUUUUUCAGCCACCGGUUGCUAGUUUCAGAUCGUACGCCGACGUCCUCAAGUCGGGUGUUCUUGCUGGAGUUAGUUCGCACGCCGACGCCCUCAAGUCGUGUGUUCUCUCCGGCGGAAUGGCGGAUGCAGAGGGCUGGCGAGUGGUUGAUCACCGGCGCCAGCAGGUUCGUGGUCGUGCCUCGGGUCCUGGUAGUUGGUCUUUUCGCGGUCGGGGCAAUUGGAAGGUGCGUGGACGCAGUUCUGGGCAUGGACGUGGUGGACGUGGUGGACGUUUCCAUGCUCCUGCAGCGUCGCUUGGCUCUAAUGACAGGGCGGUUGUGGAUCAUAGCAGAGGUGGUCAGGCUGAUGCGGCUAGAAAACGGGUUGCCGUUGUCGCACCCGGGGUUACUGACAAGGGGAAGAAACGCCGGGAAGAGCUUUGUUGCGAAAUUUGUGAAGAUAACCAUGUUCCGGAGGAGUGUCCGGUGUUCAAUGGUCCUAAGCCUCAGGCAGCUCUUUGCGGUUUUGCGGGCGGUGAGUCUGGUUUCUUUCAAAUUCCAACAUGGGGAUCACAUGCUGCAGUUCCGAGGUCGGAUGGUGUCACUGCAUUUAUAACAGUGAAAGAAGGUAAUGUUUCUGCUGAUCUCGUCAAGUCUGAACUCUCUAGACUUAUACCAGUGAAGUGGAAUUGGUCGGUCCAGAAGCACGCAGACGGGUUUCUGGUACCUUUUCCAUGCAGAGUCGAGCUCCAACGCAUGAUUGCUAUGAAAUAUGUUCAUACGUUGGGUGGAGAAGGUAUCUUGGUGAUUCAGGAGGUUAAUCAGACAAUAGAGCCGAUUGCUUAUCUACAGAAGGUUUGGGUAAAUGUUUACGGGGUUCCUUUUGAAAUCCGCUCCUUUCUCCCUUUGUGGGCAGUAGGUUCUAUUUUGGGUGCAACUCAGAAAGUCGAUAUGCGUUACACCAGGAAAAUGGGGGUGGUCCGUAUUUUGGUGGCAGUGACCAGUGUGAAUCACAUUCCAGAGUCCACAGAAAUAGUAGUUGGUGAAGGGUUAUAUGAGAUUUUCUUCAAAGUUGAUAAGGUACUCAAAGAUGGGAAGUGGAUCGAUAAUGAUAACAUGGGUAAUCGAGAUGGAGAUGAUAAGGGGCAAGGAGAGAAUGAUGACUAUUCUAAGAAACAUGAAAAAGAUUUCUUUCAGUCAGAGGAGAUAGCAGAGGAUACUGUUAUGGAAGAUAACUCACUGCCAAGCGAUUCUAAGCAUCCUCAGGAUGGGGCUCCUCGUGAUUUGGAAUUGGUGUCUCAACUAGGCUGUCAUCUCCUUGAUGGUUCGGUGGCUUCUUUGGGUAUGGAGUCAGAUGGUUUGAUCUCGGAUAAUCCGGCAGCCUUGAUGGCACUUAUUUCCUCUGGUGCAUAUCAGUAGGAAGUCGAUCUUUUAUCUGGUGCUCUUGGUCAGUCACCAGGUACUGUCAACAAUGUUGAAAUUUCCAAUAUCCGGUUGGAGCUGAAUCCAGGCAGCGAUUCCUUUACUAGCGUGGCGCUGUGUGAGGACGGGCUGCACUCGCCAGUGCUUGCUGCCAGUUCUCAUUCUCAGGUUGAGAUCAUGCCUCUUGCUAGUCUAGUCGUCAAUCUGGUUGUAGAAGACGUCUGGUCUCAUCCAAAGGUUGGGAUCGACGUGGAUGGAAAUCCUAUUAAAUAUGCUGAUACUCAGGUGAGAGUCAGUCACCUGGGACAUAUUAAUUCCUUCGCCGAGGUUCCUCGUUCGGUCCUCCAGGACACUCUUGCAUCUUAUUCUCUUUCUAAGGGAGGAAAGACUAAAAAAGUUAAUCAAGGAAAUUUCAGAUUAUGUGCGAAGAGGACUAAUACAGAUGAAGAUAUUUUGUCCAAAGCACAGCGCAUGGCAGCUAAGCGUAAUCUGGAAUUCAGUUAUUUUCAGAUGUACUCACUGGUUAAGAUUCUGGAGACCGCUACAAAAGGAGGAAUCGCAACAACAAAUUCUCGUUGCUUCGCACGUUUUGGAAGUGGUGGCGAUGGAAGUCUUCGCAAACCAUGGAUGGCGCUCAAAUACAAGAAUUGAGUAUGGCUAGUGUUAGUCAUAGUCUUGUAAUUUAAUUCCUUUGAGUUAGUAUCACUAUUCAUGCAACAGUUCUUAGUUGUAAUAAUCGACUUGUAUUGGCUGUACGCAUUAUCAUGCUAAAGCUGGAACUCUUGUUUCCAUUAUCAAAAAAAAAAGAUGUACCGAACAAAAUCAACCAAAUUUAUAGCUGAAAAUAUCUAGAC